UGCCUGAGUUCUCCAUGUAACAUCCUCACAGUGUGCCCCACAGAUACACCGAAUUUAGCAUGAGCCAAGCUAACUUAUCUUCUCCAUCUUCCAAUCUUUCUCCCAUUCCUUAAAGAGUUGUUAAAAACUCCCCUUUUCUACACCUCCUUCUGUUUGGCAAUAGCCUGUUUGUUUUUCUAAACCACUUUCCCCCGUACCUCUUAAAUCCUGUUUCUACUUAUUUUUUAUCUCACCCUCAUAAUUCAACUCUUCUCGUCAUCCCUAGAGGUGUUGUUUCACUCACACCUUAUAAAUUUUUCUUUUCUUUUCUUUUUGAUUUUGAUACAGGGUCUCACUCCAUCACCCAAGCUGGAGUGCAGUGGCGUGAUCAUAGCUCCCUGCAGCCUCCAGCUCCCAAGGUCAAGUGAUCCUCCUGCUUCAGCCUCUGGAAUAGCUGUGAGUACAGGCGCAGGACAACACACCAGCUAAAGACCCUUAAGAUGAAAUGCUGAGUGCAUCGCUCUCAGGUUUUCUUCUGACUGUGAUUUUCCUCAAUCAAAUCUAACCUUUAAUAUUCCGGCUGAGUAAACAACAAAUAUGAAGCAUUUUAGGUAAGAAAAAGCUGAAUUUCAAUAACUUUGCGUCAUCUCUGAAAGAAAUCGAAAGAAUGAAAAACCAGAAUUUGAUUCCUUGCCAAGCAUAACAGAAGAAGGAGAUCCUGACAACUCAACGUUUUAAAGCCACAUUGGAAACUUCUUUUGGCGGUUAUCUGACACUUUUCUAAUACUUUGCUUUCCAUUUCAAGUCCUGUACAGUAUACUAAAGAAUCUGUAUCCCCUCAUUAGUACCGAGUAUCUUCUACUCAGAGCAGCUGAAGGCGCUCCAUGAUACUAACCACUACUACCAGCAUGCUCACGGAGCCAGUCUCAGAAAAUGAAAGUUACCUCCUGAAAAUUAUUACAAAACAGUCUUUCAGGAGGGGGGUGUAGCUCAGUGGUAGAGCACAUGCUUUGCAUGUGUGAGGCCCCGGGUUCGAUCCCCGGCACCUCCAAAUGGUGGUUUUGCUCUGGCAGUGCUUAAAUGUAAUUCUCAAGCAACAUAGCCUUCUGCCUCCUCACCUUUUUCUAUCCUAUUUCUGCACGUAUAGAGAGUAAAAACGUAACCCAAUGGAUUGCCUUCACUUAUCUCCCAUCUCUAUAAUGUAAGCCUCAACAUCACCUAAGGCGAUUGCGACGGCAGAAGGAAGAGGAGAAAGAAGAAUGAGGUCGCAACAGGGUCUCUUGAAAGCAAACAAAAGCGUGCACAUCAACAGGCGGCUCACUUUGGCUUCGGUUUUGUACUAUGAUUAAAGAGAAGGAAAGGCUGAGAAGAAGAAAGGCAGAAAAGCCCCCCCCCGCCCCCCGGGCAUUUCGUUUUGGUCGUUGUUUUUGUUUUCUGAGCCAAAUCCAGAGUCAAAGCAUCUGUCCACUGAUUUCUCUCCCUGUCGAACUGCGCAGAGAGCACAGCCACAAGUGCGAUCCAAAGCUGAGAAAAUGUGGCUCUCCAGCCGCUUGAGAUGAGAGUGGCAGGACGCUGGACAACCGAACGAAGACUGUCGGGGAAUUAGAGGUCUUCAACACGGAAGGAGCGAAAUCAAUAAGGAUCAACACAUUCCCUACUGAUAGUCCAUACGAUUGAUUCAUUUUCCUGUAUUGCAUCAGUCACUCCAUUCUCCUCGUUAAAAUAAAACACUGAGGUCCGGGCGCGGUGGCUCACGUCUGUAAUCCCAGCACUUUGGAAGGCCGAGGCGGGGCGAUCACCUGAGGUCGGGAGUUCGAGACCAGCCUGACUAACAUGGAGAAACUCCGUCUCUAUUAAAAAUACAAAAUUAGCCGGGCGUGGUGACGCACGCCUGUAAUCCCAGCUACUCAAAAGGCUGAGUCAGGAGAAUCGUUUGAACCCGGGAGGCGGAGGUUGCAGUUUGCUGAGAUCCCACCAUUGCACUCCAACCUGGGCAGCAAGAGAGAACCUCCGUCUCAAAAUAAAAUAAAAUAUAACAUAACAUAAAACAUUGCCUGGAAACCUCUGUUAACAGCAAACAGAGGCCCCAUAUGAAAAAGUAGAGAAAGCUUUUCUGCCACAAUGGAAAAUAGAUGCAAAGUAAAGAUUUUCGUAACCUGAGAUGGAGCGUCUUCUACACAAAGCACUGCGGAGUUGCUAGAUACAGAGGGUUUCAUUCUCGCCAAUUACCUGCAACCUAAACUUCUCGAGGCAACUGUGGAGCUACUUUUGUUCGUAUCCCUCAGUAUUGUCUUGCAUCUCUUUCUUGAAGCCUUUGUAGGCAGAGGGUAAGAGAGACGAAGGAGGAAGAAUUUGAAGAUGCAAGAGAACAUUCCAUAAUGGACCCCUUUCUGUUGGUGGAUGAAACUGCCAGCCAGGCAUCACUUUGGCAAGUGGACCUCAGACCGGCGGUCUGGCUGGCCAGAGAGGAAAACCGCGUGUAACAGUGUCUUUUGGUUUAGUAUUUAGUGCCGCUUUUGCUGGUCACAGUCUAAAGGUUUUAGAAAUAGUGAUGUUAAACACAGCAAGCAUUUUUCUGCCAGAUAUUCGUUCUCCAAACACAGACAGACAAAGGCAGUAAUUAAUAAUGGAUCUUUUCUUUGUUUUUUUCUUGUUUUAUUUUUGAAGAUAUUUUUUCUUCGUCUAUGGAUCUUUUUUUUAAUUUUUAAUUUUUACUGCUGCAUAGUAUAUAUAUGUAUAUAUAUGAUACAUGGGAUAUUUUGAUGCAGGCAUACAAUGUGUAAUAAUCAUAUUGGGAUAAACGAAGCAUCCAUCACCUCAUCCAUCGCCUCAACACCUUAUCAUUUCUUUGUUACAGACAUUCCAGUUAUAAUCUUUAAGUUAUUUUUAAAUGUACAAUACAUUUUUGUUGACUAUAAUCACCCUGUUGUGCUAUCAAAUGAUAGAUCUUAUUCAUGCUAACUAUAUUUUUGUAUCCAUUAACCAUCUCACUGCCCCCUCCAAUACCCUUCCCAGCAUCUGGUAACCAUCAUUCUACUCUCUGUCUCCAUGAGUUCAAUUGUUUUAUUUUUGGCUUCCACAAAUGAGAGAGAAUAUGUGAAGUUUUACUUUCUGUGUAUAGCUUAACUUAAUGUCCUCUAGUUUGUGGAGGAAAAGUUACGUAUUAAAUUUGAACUCAAUUGAACGUGGACACAAACAAUGGUCACCAAAUCCUGAACAGGUUGUAUGAACCCCUUGAGGUGUUCAUCCAGUGCUGUUUUGGAGAAAUCUCUAUUUCAAUCUAUUCCUAUACGUUAGUUAUUGAAAAACAACAGACAAUCGCAAAAACAAGUUGACCUUUUCUUGUUCCUUGAGCUCAGUCGCGAAGGGCUCUCGUGAGCUUCAUGAGACCUCUCCUUCUCUGUGCAUGGACGAGUGGCCGACUCUGGAGCCGGGGCUGUUGCUUCCCGGUGUGGUGAUGAAUCCUUCAUAGUCUUGUGAGUGUACAUAUAUAUAAAUAUAUAUAUUUAUAUAUAUAUAUAUAUAUUUGGUGAGUGUGUGUAUAUAUAUAUAUAUAUAUAUCUUUUCCCUUCUCCCCUUCCCAUUGCAAUUUGCUUAUUGUAUCAUUUGUU
rnacentral:tRNA from 1 species